CAAAACANGUCUUAUUGAUAAUAAUUUUAAGUCAAUCUCUGCCCAAUGAUUUAAUUAAAUGGCUGCAGUAUAAUUGACUGUACAAAGGUAGCAUAAUCAGUUGAUUUUUAAAUGGAAUCUGGAAUGAAAGGAUUAAUGAAAUAUAUACUGUCUCAUAUAUAUUAUAUGAAUUUAAAAUUUUAAUAAAAAUGUUAAAAUUUUUUUUUGGGACGAUAAGACCCUAUAGAAUUUUAUAUAGAAUAAAUUUUAUUUUAAUAUAAAAUAAAUUUUAUAUUUAAUUGGGAGAAUUAUUAAAUUAGAAAAAUUUUAAUUUUUAUAAACUUAAAUUAAAGAAAAUUUAUUGAUUUAAAAUUUUUAAUUAUUAGAAUAAAUUACCUUAGGGAUAACAGCGUAAUAUUUUUUUAUAGAUCUUAUAGAAAAAAAUGAUUGCGACCUCGAUGUUGAAUUAAGAUAAAUUUUAAAUGUAGAAGUUUAAUAAUUAAGUCUGUUCGACUUUUAAAAUCUUACAUGAUUUGAGUUCAAAUCGACCUGAGU
rnacentral:rRNA from 1 species